UACGUAGGAGGCGAGCGUUGUCCGGAGUUACUGGGCGUAAAGGGUGCGCAGGCGGUUAUAUAAGACAGAUGUGAAAUCCCCGGGCUCAACCUGGGAACUGCGUUUGUGACUGUAUGACUAGAGUACGGUAGAGAGGGGUGGAAUUCCUGGUGUAGCAGUGAAAUGCGUAGAUAUCAGGAGGAACAUCGAUGGCGAAGGCAGCCCCCUUGGACCUGUACUGACGCUCAUGCACGAAAGCGUGGGGAGCAAACAGG
rnacentral:rRNA from 1 species